rnacentral:sRNA from 1 species
ACUCAACGUGAUUUCUUUAAAAAGGGUGAGUUUAAGUUGUAAAAGCGUGCCGCUCCUGAUAUCUUUCAGGUUGGCGGAUACUUGAUCAGCUUGUUAGCCCUAUACUUAUUUUAAGGAGUUU